rnacentral:lncRNA from 1 species
GUUCCUCAUUUUAUAAGUAAUGUUUAAGAGCAAUGACCCACUCCUACUUUCAGCAAAGAGGUGCACAUAGCAUAGACCCAUAGAAGAGGAAGGAUCUGAGAAGGAGUUUGAAAAAAGUGUAGGAGAGGCUGCGAGAAAACAAGGCAGGUGUCCUGGCUGAGGGCAGGAAGGAGACAUUGCGAUGGAAAUUGUGCCCCAUUUUCUUGGAGGAUUGGGAAGAGGACCUGUGGACUGGGCGGCCCACACAACUGCUGUAACCUCAGGCAGUUUUCAAGCAGAUUGACCUUCCUGCUGGAACACGGCACAUGAGGGUUGCUUGGCCUUGCCUCCACCAUGCCUGACACUGGCGCUCUGCUGGGAGGAAAAAGCUUGCUCUGUUGCUGGCUGUGUGGAACAGAGAGGGAAGUGGCAGACAGUCUGGGCCCAGCACUUGGGUAUCGUGCUCUAGCCAUGCGACUCAUCUCUCCAGUUCAGACCUGCCCCUGGAAAAAAGAGCCCAGACCUCAUCAUGAAUGCUUUCCUAGGAGAAAAUGAACAGCUGGACAAUGCUCCUGGUCAGUAGGCCUGAAGGAUGCUGGGAUGCAGCCCUCAAGAUGGAACAGCCAGGAUGCCAAGUAUCCCUCUUGCCCAGAUCCUAAGGCACUUUUUCUACUGAUCCAUAUUGGCCUCAGGAGAUGUCUCAACACAGCACCCCAGCCAAUGGAGCUGCCACAUAAGAUGAACUCUUGAUCAUCUCUAAACUAGAGAGUUAAACUCAACA